CCCGCGCCCUGCGCAGCCCCCGCGCCACACCCGCCGCCCCACACCUCGCCGGGCGCAGGGCUCAGGCUCCGGAGUCCGCCUGCUCGCCGUGGCCUCUAACUUGACCCAGCCCCGAGUGUGAGGACCCACAGCCCUUCCGGCCGGGAACGAUGGGGCACAGGGGCCCCCAGAAAGUGUCCUGAUGACAGGUUGUGAACCAGGUGUGAGCGGGAGGCUGCCCAGCCGCUGAGCCUGCGGGGAUCCUGGACAUGGCCGGUGACCGAGUGAAACCGCAUUGCCAGGCACACUCAGCACCCACCCUUCACGACCCCUCAGUGGCCUCUGGGGUGCUGACUACUUCCUGCAUGUGAGAAGCCCCCUUCCCCGGGCUGCCAGCACAGCAGGCAAGCUCCUGGUUUUCCUCCUAGCUCUCAGGAAAUUCCUUCUCCAUCACCUUGUUGGUAUCCUCUUUUAUACCCACUCCCUGGAUGCCAAACUACACACCUCCGGUCCGGAUCCACCCGCCAGCUUCAGUUCCACGUACGCGUCAGAUGGCCGGCGGGUCACUACCUUGAUUCCCAGUGGCUCCCGCCGACUCAGCUGUUCCAGCUGGAGCCCAUCUUCUUGCUGGAGCUCGCCUCUACUCUCCUCGAGAGAAGUGCACCUCCGUUCUGCCAGCACCAUAUCAGAGACCUAACCUUUGCCCCGGACCCCAGUCUCUUCCCUUUCCACCCCAUCAGGGCAGUCCAACCAGUUCUAUCUUCCCACCAUCCCUCUCAAAACCAUCCCCUUCCUCCAAGCCUGUUGCCUGGGCUCAGGGGCUCAUCAACCCAGCUUGCUUCUUACUGGUCUCACCAUGUACAGUCUCUCUCCCCUUCAGUGCCUCUGACACAGGGGUUGCCAGGGUAAAAUGUAAAUGUCCUUACGUGGCCCCCAGUCUUCCUCAGGCUAAAGGCAAAAACUGCCCUGAUAAAGUACCCUGCAGAAGCACUGGGCAGCGACUCGCAGAACAGCGCACGACCCACUGCUCGGCGUAUACCCAAAAGCACCCGUGUUCACUGAGACGUGUACAAUGGUGCUCACAGCAGCCCCACCUACACUAGCACACAACUGCAGGUGCCCCAGGCACCCAGCGAUGAGUGAAGGAGCACAUCAUGGGGUGCUCGCUCAUGGGAUGAACAAACUGACUCAUGUAACAACCGGGAGGCAGCUCAUGAGCACCAUGUUGAGUGACAGCGGCCAGGUGCAACAGGCAUAUAUUGUACGAGAACUCCCCUUCUAUGAAGCUGAAGAAGAGGCGGAACUGAUGAGCACUCAUAGAGGCCAGAUGUCAUGAAAUGAUUCAAUGGCGUCCCCCUAAAUGGCUUCACUCUGAGCAUUCAGCUUGUCACCUCACAGACUGACCCACAGCAGAGACCUGCACCGAGCAUGCCCAAGGCGGGCGUGACCAGAAGCUGUGGCCCAGGGGGUUUUGAUGGUGGCACCAGCACCACUGUCCGCUCUGGCGUCUCAUGGCCAGCUGGAUGCCUACACCGCCAAACUGGAUCCCAGGCAAUGACAGAGCGGGCAGCCUUGUCCCUGCGGCUGGCGAGAGGAGGUGACGCCUGCUGUCAGUGUGGUCAAGGAUGGGUUGCCUUCGUUUAUGUUUUAAAAUAGGAUUUAAGAACUCAGGCAAAGGUGGUUUGUUUGUUUAACAUUCCAAAAUAGACCUGUUUUGUACUGGGUUGUUUUGGGUCUAAAUGUGGAGAAGGUGGUGUUUCCACUUUUGCCAUAAUAAAAUAGAAAUGUAGGAAGGGGGACAAAGAAAGAAAACUGUCAUCCUUGGUAACAAUUGGUUUUCUGAAGUUUUAUCUGAAAGUAGCAUUUUUUUCCAUCUAAUAUAGUGAUUUUUAUAUUUCGUUUCUAUUUCUAUGCUUGCAAAUAUUUGCUUUACAAUAUUACAGCAGUUUUUGAAAGCAGAGAUUCAAAGCUCUUCAAAGAAUUCGAAUCCUGCCUGGUACACUUUACCACAGCAUCCCUGGGUUUGUAAUAAUUUACUGACACGACUUCCUGCCUGAGUGCCAGCAAUGCCCGCCCUGCGCUCAGGCCAGACCGUUACUGUUUCUGCAGACGUCACAGGGGCCGGGGCUGGGGCUGCACAAGCAAGCCAGCUUCCUACUGAGCAUCUCCAUGUUAUGUCCAUGCAGACUCCAGCUGACCUGAUGGGCCCAGGGCCCGGCCCAGCUGCCCUGGGACAUGGGGGGCUGUGGCUCUGUCCCGAGGCGAGUGCUCGUGCUCUGGGCAGGUAGGCCUGAGCCCACAAAUGCCUGUGCUGGCACCCAGUAUAUCUCUAUAUCUGUGUGUACCACUGCCCCACCAGCCUUUGUUUGCAAAACACAAACUCAAAGAUGAAAAGGUCAGGAAUUUCAAGAUGGCAACAGCAGGACAUACAACCAAAGCAGAGACCCUUUGGAAGACCAGGUCCUAUCUGUCUGCCCAUGCCUGCUGCUCAGCUGAAAGCCAGCCGUCCUCGCUGGAGCUUCACGGGGCCCAUCUCGCCCGCGAGUGCACUUCACUCCCAGCCCUCAACAGUCUGGGACAGCACGGCAGCUCCAGGCCCUCGACCUGGCCCUCAGCCUGGAAAACUCCUCGUGGCCGUGGCUCGUCCUGUGAGACUCACUCCAGAGUCAUGUCCUCAAAGUGUUUCUUAACAAUGCACAAAUGCUGACCAUAGCAUCCACCUCUCGGCUCCGUUUGUUCGAGUCCCCGCUGUCUGCCCGGCUUGCCUAAGAGCAGGUGGUGUCUCUGAUCUGUCUCUGCUUUCCCCAGGCCAAGCUGGGCCUGGAGCACAGGCGACACGCAGCAGAGAUUUGU